rnacentral:rRNA from 1 species
AUUGGAGGGCAAGUCUGGUGCCAGCAGCCGCGGUAAUUCCAGCUCCAAUAGCGUAUAUUAAAGUUGUUGCGGUUAAAAAGCUCGUAGUUGGAGGUCAGUUCCGGACUGGGGUGGGAGGUCACCGCCCGGUGCUUCCCCGUCAGGCUCCGAACAGCUUCCUUUGUUGGAAGCCAAGCCGGUUGGUGCGGGGUGCUCUUUACCGAGUGUCCCGCGUGGCCGGCCAGUUCACCUUGAAUAAAUGAGAGUGCUCAAAGCAGGCUACUCUGGAAUACAAUGCCCGAAUGUUAGCUGCAUGGAAUGAUGGAAGAUGAUCUCGGUUCCAUUUUGUUGGUGGUGGGAGCCAGAGGUAAUGAUAAAGAGGGACUGUCGGGGGCAUCCGUACUACGACGCGAGAGGUGAAAUUCAGUGACCGUCGUAGGACGAACAACAGCGAAAGCAUUUGCCAAGAAUGUCUUCGUUGAUCAAGAACGAAAGUUAGAGGAUCGAAGGCGAUCAGAUACCGCCCUAGUUCUAACCCUAAACGAUGCUGACUAGCAAUUCGCCGUCGUUAUUCCCAUGACGUGGCGAGACGCCCCCGGGAAACCUCAAGUGUUUGAGUUCCGGGGGUAGUAUGGUUGCAAAAGUGAAACUUAAAGGAAUUGACGGAAGGGCACCACCAGGAGUGGAGCCUGCGGCUUAAUUUGACUCAACACGGGGAACCUGACCAGGCCCGGACACCAGAAGGAUUGACAGAUUAAGAGCUCUUUCUCGAUUU